rnacentral:rRNA from 1 species
AUUGAACGCUGGCGGCAUGCUUUACACAUGCAAGUCGUACGCAUUCUCGUUUCUGAUUGACGGUGCUUGCACCUAAUUGACGAGACAUUGGAAUGAGUGGCGGACGGGUGAGUAACACGUGGGUAACCUGCCCAGAAGCGGGGGAUAACAUUUGGAAACAGAUGCUAAUACCGCAUAAAAGCCAAAACACCAUGGUUUUGAUUUAAAAGAUGGCCUUUGUGCUAUCACUUCUGGAUGGACCCGCGGCGUAUUAGCUAGUUGGUAAGGUAACGGCUUACCAAGGCAAUGAUACGUAGCCGAACUGAGAGGUUGAUCGGCCACAAUGGGACUGAGACACGGCCCAUACUCCUACGGGAGGCAGCAGUAGGGAAUCUUCCACAAUGGGCGCAAGCCUGAUGGAGCAACACCGCGUGAGUGAAGAAGGGUUUCGGCUCGUAAAACUCUGUUGUUAAAGAAGAACGUAUCUAAGAGUAACUGCUUAGGUAGUGACGGUAUUUAACCAGAAAGCCACGGCUAACUACGUGCCAGCCGCCGCCGUAA